rnacentral:rRNA from 1 species
UGCCAGCCGCCGCGGUAAUACGAAGGGACCUAGCGUAGUUCGGAAUCACUGGGCGUAAAGCGUAUGUAGGCGGAUCAAAAAGUUAGAUGUGAAAUCCCUGGGCUCAACCCAGGAACUGCAUUUAAAACUGUUAGUCUUGAGAUCGAGAGAGGUGAGUGGAAUUCCAAGUGUAGAGGUGAAAUUCGUAGAUAUUUGGAGGAACACCAGUGGCGAAGGCGGCUCACUGGCUCGAUACUGACGCUGAGGUACGAAAGUGUGGGGAGCAAACAGGAUUAGAUA